rnacentral:rRNA from 1 species
CAGUCGCCACGGGAAUACAGAGGGUGCGAGCGUUAAUCGGAUUUACUGGGCGUAAAGCGUGCGUAGGCGGCUUCUUAAGUCGGAUGUGAAAUCCCUGAGCUUAACUUAGGAAUUGCAUUCGAUACUGGGAAGCUAGAGUAUGGGAGAGGAUGGUAGAAUUCCAGGUGUAGCGGUGAAAUGCGUAGAGAUCUGGAGGAAUACCGAUGGCGAAGGCAGCCAUCUGGCCUAAUACUGACGCUGAGGUACGAAAGCAUGGGGAGCAAACAGGAUUAGAUACCCCUGUAGUCCCUGUCUCUUAACA